AACGAACGCUGGCGGCAGGCCUAACACAUGCAAGUCGAGCGCGCCCUUCGGGGUUAGCGGCGGUCGGGUGAGUAACGCGUGGGAACUUUCCCUUUUCUACGGAAUAGCCUCGGGAAACUGAGAGUAAUACCGUAUACGCCCUUUGCGGGAAAGAUUUAUCGGAACAGGAUCGGCCCUCGUUGGAUUAGGUAGUUGGUGGGGUAAUGGCCUACCAAGCCGACGAUCCAUAGCUGGUUUGAGAGGAUGAUCAGCCACACUGGGAAUGAGACACGGCCCAGACUGCUACGGAAGGGAGGAGAGGGGAAUAUUAGACAAUGGGGGCAAGCAUGAUAUAGCCAUGCCGGGUGAGAGAUGAAGGCGUUAGGGAAGUAAAGCUGUUUGAGCUGGGAAGAUAAUGACGGUACCAGGAGAAGAAGCACCGGCUAACUCCGUG
rnacentral:rRNA from 1 species